rnacentral:pre_miRNA from 1 species
CGGUGUGUAGUGGAUGUACCCUCGGUUCGAUGUUUCUUUACUAUCAUCACCGGGUAUACAUUCAUCAAAUACCGUAGCUCA